GGAUGCGAUCAUACCAGCACUAACGCACCGGAUCCCAUCAGAACUCCGAAGUCAAGCGCGCUUGGGCGAGAGUAGUACUAGGAUGGGUGACCCCCUGGGAAGUCCUCGUGUUGCAUCCC
rnacentral:rRNA from 1 species